AUUUAAUGUAAUUGCUGAAGACAUCUUGAAUCAAAUAAAUGUUGAAAGUUGUAUUGGUCAUAAUCCUGGUAUAACUGCUAUGUGGGAAGAUGAAAGACAACGAAGACGAGAUAUUGGACUAUCUUCACAAGUUGCUCUUCCUGUUUCACAAGAAUCAAAAUAAAAAUGUUUCCUGAU